UGACAGUCUCACUCUGUCACCCAGGCUGGAGUACAGUGGUGUAAUCUCAGCCUCCUGGGUUCAAGCGAUUCUUGUGCCUCAGCCUCCCAAGUAAGGGGGUGUAUUAGGGUUCUCUAGAGGGACAGAACUAAUAAGAUAGAUGUAUAUAUAAAGGGGAGUUUAUUAAGGAAUAUUGACUCACACAAUCACGAGGUGAGUUCCCACAACAGGCCGUCUGCAAUCUGAGGAGCAAGGAACCAGUUCGAGUCCCAAAACCUCAAAGGCAGGGAAGCUGACAAGGCAGCUUUUGGUCUGUGGUCAAAGGUCCGAGAGUCCCAAAGCCGAAGAACUUGGAAUCCGAUGCUUGAGGGCAGGAAGCAUCUCACACGGGAGAAAGAUGUAGGCUGGAAGACUAAGCCAGUCUAGUCUUCACACGUUCUUCUGCCUGCUUUUAUUCUUGCCAUGUUGGCAGCUGAUUAGAUGAUAUCCUCUCAGAUUGAGGGUGGGUCUGCCUUUCCCAGUUCACUGAUUCAAAUGUUACUCUCCUUUGGCAACAUCCUCAUAGACACACCCAGAAACAAUGCUUUGCAUCCUUCAAUCCAAUCAAGUUGACAUUUAACAUCAACCAUCACAGGGGUAUUAGAGGUGUAAGUCACCAUGCCUGGUUAUUUUUUUUUUUUUAAUUUUUUGUAGAGACAGAGUUUCAUCAUGCUGGUCUCAAUCUCCUGGCCUCAACUGAUCUGCCCGCCUACGCCUCUCAAAGUGCUGGGAUUAUAGCUGUGAGCCACCACACCCAGCCCUUUUUCUUUUUUUCUGUAGACCUCCUCAGUGGACAUCUUUUCAACAAUUUGACUGUGAAGAUCAUGAGCACAUCAUCUUCUUUGUAUUUAUCCUGCCUGAAAAGAGCUUGGUAUUAUUACAUAUGAGGCUCAUGAAAGGAUGGAAAGGACCCUGGAAACCACUUUGGAAUACAGGUUUCUGAUGACUAGAAUCAUGUCAUUUGGACUGGGUAAAGAAAGCUUUUAUGGGUCACUGACUGAGGACAAUCAACCCCUUAACAACCUAGAACCUGAAGACUGGAUCUUCUGAGAACAUCAGAGAAAGACUGCUCUUGCCACCUGUACUGCAGCAUAACUUCAGGACCUGAACCUUGGGUUCAUAAUCUCAUAACCAAGAAGGGUCCCUCCAUACUCUUGGAACUGUACACCCAUUGGAAACCUUAAGGUGAAGCUAACCUGGGAAGUCUCUCCCCAGAAGAUGGCAUCCUUAAUGUGAACAGCUUCUCCUAAGAUCACAGAUCAGGACUUCUCUACUAUCAUGAGACUCUUAUCUUUGAAUAUUUGUUCUCUUGCUGAUGCCUCUAUGAAAAACAGAAGUGAAAGCGGGUCUUUUGUGUGAACUCAUGGGGUAUACUUUUAUUUGUGAAGGACUUUACAGCCAGCCUUAAACAUGGAUAACCUUAUACUUUGAUAAAUGAAAGAUGAAGACCCAAUGCAGGUUGUAAAUUUUAAUGGUACGUACUUUGCCUCAUAAUCAGUUAGAAACAGAACAUUUGUUUGCUCCUCUUAACCUACGUCAUGGGUUAAUGAGAACAUUGCCAGGAAGCGUUCACUCUUCUAGAAGGACAUCAUUGUUAGGUCCUUUUCCAUGGUUUGGAGUAAAAGAUGCAAUGAUUAGAAAUAUAUUCCUCAUGAUAGUCUCUAUAGCAGAUUCUACUGUAAAGGUUAUGGUUACACAACAGACUUUAAAUUAUCUUGUGAAUAUUAUGCUAAAUAAUAGAAUUACUCUAGAUUACUUACUGGCUAAGCGGGAAACCAUCUCUGCAGCUGCUGGCACUUGUGGCCUAUGGAGAAAUACAUCACGUUAGGUAUUAUAGAGAUUCAGUUGUAGGGGAUUAAUGCAGAGACUGCUUAGUUAAGCAAGUGGAUUCUUUAGCUCAUUCUUUGAUCUAUUUAAUUGUAAGUGGUUUUGUUUACGGGGACCCUGGGUAAGGACCAUACUCCAAAUAUUAUCCUCCUGACAGCCAUAAUGGUAGUUCCCCAGUGUGCUGUAUUCUCUCAAAAGUUUUAAAUGUUUGCAUUCAGCCAUACCUAGAAUGUCAAAUGGUCUCUCUUUAACUGGAAUGAAAAGAGAUGAAAGAACUGUGUGACCAGGAGGGCACUGUAACCUAUGAAUGACAUGCUGAGACUGGACACCCAAAAUGAUGGUAACUAAGAGUAGCACUAAGGCCCUAAGUUUUGGUCACACUCUCACCUAAGUGAGAAGCUGACCAAAAAGGGGGAAUAUCAAUAUAUUUACUUUAAGUUCUGGAAUACAUGUGCAGAACGUGCAGGUUUGUUACAUAGGUACACGUGCCAUGGUGGUUUGCUGCACUGAUCAACCCGUAAUCUACAUUAGGUAUUUCUCCUAAUACCAUUUCUCACCUAGCCCCCCAACCCCUGACAGGCCCCAGUGUGUAAUGUUACCCUCCCUGUGUCCACGUGUUCUCAUUGUUCGACUCCCACUUAUGAGUGAGAAUAUGCGGUGUUUGGUUUUCUGUUCUUGUGUUAGUUUCCUGAGAAUGAUGAUUUCCAGCUUCAUCCAUGUCCCUGCAAAGGUCAUGAACUCAUCCUUUUUUAUGGCUGCAUAGUAUUCCAUGGUGUAUAUGUGCCACAUUUUCUUUAUUCAGUCUAUCAUUAAUGGGCAUUUGGAUUGGUUCCAAGUCUUUGCUAUUGUGAACAAUGUUGCAAUAAACAUACAUAUGCAUGUG
rnacentral:lncRNA from 1 species